UACAGAGGGUGCGAGCGUUUGUUCGGAAUUAUUGGGCGUAAAGCGCUUGUAGGCGGCACGUCAAGUCGCGUGUGAAAUCCCCAGGCUUAACCUGGGAAGUGCGCGCGAAACUGACGAGCUUGAGUGCCGGAGAGGGUCGCGGAAUUCCCGGUGUAGAGGUGAAAUUCGUAGAUAUCGGGAGGAACACCAGUGGCGAAGGCGGCGACCUGGACGGACACUGACGCUGAGACGCGAAAGCGUGGGGAGCAAACAGGG
rnacentral:rRNA from 1 species